rnacentral:lncRNA from 1 species
UGUGAUUGAAAAAUGUUAAUCUCUCAUUCUCAUUAACAUAUAUUGCCGUUUUCAUUUUUAAUUUAGAUUACAUAAAGCUUUUAUUUUUAUAUCUUUUAUUGUUUUUUAGUUUAGACAGGGAGACAAAGUGAUUAGAAAUUGUGACGCACAAAAAGUCGUUUAUGAGGAAGAAGAGUCAUAUGAUGGAGCAUUGCAAAAGACAUUGAUAAUGAGGCGUUUGAAUUUAGUGUAUUAAGAAAUAGUGCACUAUUUCUUUAAUUUUUUUUUUCAAAUACAAGAAUGACAAAGAAACUUAAGAUUGUAUAUAUUAUAUUGGAAAUUUUAGUGCUGCGUGUCGUGAAUGCCCCUUUUUCUUCAUGAUUUGUAAUUAUUAAUUUAUUGUAUAUCACAUGUACAUGAAUAAUACAAGUAUAUUAAUACAUGUGCAUGAAUUUAGAUUAUUUUUUCACGAGUUUUUAUCGACA